rnacentral:rRNA from 1 species
AGUGAACGCUGGCGGCGUGCCUAAUACAUGCAAGUCGAACGAAGUGGCGCACGGGUGAGUACUAUAUAGUUAAUCUGCCCUACACAGAGGAACAACAGUUGGAAACGACUGCUAAUACCUCAUAGUGUAGGAUGAGACUAUAUAGUAUCAGCUAGUUGGUAAGGUAAUGGCUGACCAAGGCUAUGACGGGUAACUGGUGUGAGAGGAUGAUCAGUCACAUUGGAAGUGAGGCACUGUCCAAGCACCUACGGGAGGGAGCAGUAAGGAAUACUGCGCAAGGGGGGAAACCCUGACGCAGCAACGCCGCGUGGAGGAUGACACUUUGCGGAGCGUAAACUCCUUUUAUAAGGAAAGCGGUACCUGAUGAAUAAGCACCGGCUAACUCCGUGCCAGCAGCCGCGGUAAUAC